ACUCAAAUGAAUAGACGGGGGCCCGCACAAGCAGCGGAGCGUGUGGUUUAAUUCGAUGAUACGCGAAGAACCUCACCCAGGUUUGACAUGCAUGUGGUACUGAUCCGAAAGGUGAGGGACCCCUCGGGGAGCAUGCACAGGUGUUGCACGGCCGUCGUCAGCUCGUGCCGUGAGGUGUUGGGUUAAGUCCCGCAACGAGCGCAACCCCUGUCGCCAGUUGUACUUUUCUGGCGAGACUGCCGAGAAAACCUCGGAGGAAGGAGGGGACGAUGUCAGGUCAGCGUGGCCCUUACGCCUGGGGCUACACACACGCUACAAUGGGUGGUACAACGGGUUGCCAAGCCGCGAGGCGGAGCUAAUCCCAUCAAAGCCAUCCCCAGUUCGGAUUGCAGGCUGAAACCCGCCUGCAUGAAGCCGGAGUUGCUAGUAACCGCAGGUCAGCAUUACUGCGGUGAAUACGUUCCCGGGCCUUGUACACACCGCCCGU
rnacentral:rRNA from 1 species